CCUACGGGUGGCAGCAGUGGGGAAUAUUGCACAAUGGGGGAAACCCUGAUGCAGCGACGCCGCGUGAGUGAAGAAGUAUUUCGGUAUGUAAACCUCUAUCAGCAGGGAAGAAAAUGACCGUACCUGACUAAGAAACCCCCGCUAACUACGUGCCAGCAGCCGCGGUAAUACGUAGGGGGCAAGCGUUAUCCGGAUUUACUGGGGUUUAAGGGGGCGUAGGCGGGGCAGCAAGUCAGAAGUGAAAGCCCGGGGCUCAACUCCGGGACUGCGUUUGAAACUGUUGAACUAGAUUGCCGGAGAGGUAAGUGGAAUUCCUAGUGUAGCGGUGAAAUGCGUAGAUAUUAGGAGGAACACCAGUGGCGAAGGCGGCUUACUGGACUGUAAAUGACGCUGAGGCUCGAAAGCGUGGGGAGCAAACAGGAUUAGAUACCCUGGUAGUC
rnacentral:rRNA from 1 species